rnacentral:misc_RNA from 1 species
UUUCCGUAGGUGAACCUGCGGAAGGAUCAUUAGUGAAUUAAAGCCGUUUGGUGUCUAUGUUUCGGCAUGGCUCUUGCUUACAUUACAUCUUAACACCUGUGUUAUGUAAGACGCAUGAUGAGGUCUUUGGCUAAGUAAUGGUCUGCACUUUUUUAAAAAACAAUAAAUGUAACAAAGGUAGUCUUAUUUUAACCUAGUAAAACUUUCAACAACGGAUCUCUUGGCUCUC